CUGUAUGUCCUGACCGGCGAGCGAACUCUGAUACUUGACAUCCGCAGAGUUAAAACCAUGUAUUCCAAGGAGGACAUAUUUGUCCUCUUCGACAGUAAAGGGUUAAGACCCCUGUACUCCCAAAGCAAACCUCGUCUUUAAUUUUCAGGGAGAGUGAUCUAUACUAUCCCUAUUACUACUACUAUUAUGACUAUUUCCAGGUUAAGAGUGACUACCUGGAGGAUGAAAGCAGGGCGGCAGAAGGCAUGGAUUUCGACACAGCCAUCCAGCUCACUUGCAUCGAAAUCAAGCGAGUCUUUAAGCGGAUGAACGGAUGCGCGAUGGACAAGAAGUCAAAUCUUGAGCAGCCGGAGAAGGAAGUCGGUCUACAUGAAUUCCUACCGGCCUACGUCAUCAACACCAUCAAACAGAAAACGUUACGUAAGGCUUUGCAGGGAAACUUUAAGAAAUUCUCGGCGUUCUUCGAUUACGAAUCUCACUUCAAGUGCCUCGAGAUUUUGGGAAAAGUUGGAAAGUUUGACAUCGAAAACUUCCGCUGUGCACUCGGCUGUGGUUGGUCUAUUCCUGUCACUCUGCUUGUCGGCCCAAGUGUUGGUAUUUCCUACUGGACAGAUUCUGCCUCUGCCGUAGCAGGUACUACAGAAGCCCUCACCAUCACCAUCACCUGCCCCUCCAUUGGCGGAGCAGAGAGCUUAGCAGACCUGGUUGACAGCUACUGCAGGCUUGUCAACCAAUCCAGCAUGUCGCUGUGGACUGUGUGGAGAGAGAGAGAGAGAGAGAGAGAGAGAGAGAGAGAGAGAGAGAGAGAGAGAGAGAGAGAGAGAGAGAGAGAGAGAGAGAGAGAGAGAGAGAGAGAGAGAGAGAGAGAUAGGGGGAGGAGGGACUGUAGGUGAACUUGAAGGAGAAAUAGGAGGAAUGCUCUUUUAAAAGGCUCUAGUUGAAGUUGUAAGGGUUUUUAAGGGUGUUCUUAAGGCUCUAGUGAUAGAUUAACAACAGGAGAAACACUCUUUUAAAAGGCUCUAGUUGAAAUGAUGCAGGUUUUUAAGGAUGUUUUUAAGGUUCCAGUAACAGAUUAACAAUAUUUCUGCAUUACUGACAGGAGAAACACUCUUUUAAAAAAGCUCUAGUCGAAGAUGUAAGGUUUUUAAGGGUGUUUUCAGGGUUGAGGUGACAGAUUAACAACAUCUGCAUUACUGACAGGAAAAACAUUUUUAAAAGACUCUAGUAAAGUUUUUUUUUAUUUUUAUUUUUUUAAGGUUGUAGUGACAGAUUAACAACAUUUCUGCAUUAUUGACAGGAGAAACACUCUUUUAAAAGGUUCUAGUUGAAGUUGUAAGGGUUUUUAAUAUUUUUUAAGGUUGUAGUGACAGAUUAACAACAUUUCUGCAUUAGUGACAGGAGAAACACUUUUGAGAACCUUGCAAACCAUCACUGUGGCUUUAUGAAACAGUCAGUGGUGAGAGACCUGACCUGAGCCUGUGUGACCUGAUCUUCUCCAGGCUCGUGUGUGUGUGUGUGUGUGUGUGUGUGUGUGUGUGUGUGUGUAAGUUUGUUUACUACUACUACUAUUACUCAUAAAAGUAAUAAUAAUGACAAUAAUUAUGAUACUACUACUACUACUAAUACUACUACUACUACUACUACUACUACCACUACUACUACUACUACUGCUGCUACUGCUACUACUACUACUACUACUACUACUACUACUACUACUACUACUACUACUACUACUACUACUACUACUACUACUACUACUAC